CAGCAGCCGCGGGAAUACGGAGGGGGCUAGCGUUGUUCGGAAUUACUGGGCGUAAAGCGCACGUAGGCGGCUUGGUAAGUUAGAGGUGAAAGCCUGGAGCUCAACUCCAGAAUUGCCUUUAAGACUGCCGAGCUAGCAGGUGAGAGAGGUAAGUGGAAUUCCGAGUGUAGAGGUGAAAUUCGUAGAUAUUCGGAAGAACACCAGUGGCGAAGGCGGCUUACUGGCUCAUACUGGACGCUGAGGUGCGAAAGCGUGGGGAGCAAACAGGAUUAGAUACCCCUGUAGUCCCUGUCUCUUAUAA
rnacentral:rRNA from 1 species